CAAGAAUCGAGGCUGACGGUGCCUGCCGGGACUUUGUGCGCCCGUGCUAGGUUGCGUCCGGCCCCGCUCCUUACCUUGCCUACUGCACCGUUUGUUGCUUCCUGGCGGUGGGACACCGCCGCCAGGAUCCUUCUAAAAGUCUUGUAUAUAAGCAUUGAAAACCCUGAUAUACACUAAAUCGUACAACUUUCAACAAUGGAUCUCUUGGUUCUGGCAUCGAUGAAGAACGCAGCGAAAUGCGAUAAGUAGUGUGAAUUGCAGAAUUCAGUGAAUCAUCGAAUCUUUGAACGCACAUUGCGCCCCUUGGUAUUCCAUGGGGCAUGCCUGUUCGAGCGUCAUCUAAACCCUCAAGCCCCCCGGUGUUGCCCACGCCUAUGGCGUGGGCCCCGCCCGGCUUGGUGUUGGGUGUCUGUCCCCGCCCCCCCGCGCGGACUCGCCCUAAAUGCAUUGGCAGCGGCCUCCCGGCUCCUCGCGCAGCACAUUGCGCAGUAGGACGCGGAGAGAGGCGGGAGGCCGCUGCCAAUGCAUUUAGGGCGAGUCCGCGCGGGGGGGCGGGGACAGACACCCAACACCAAGCCGGGCGGGGCCCACGCCAUAGGCGUGGGCAACACCGGGGGGCUUGAGGGUUUAGAUGACGCUCGAACAGGCAUGCCCCAUGGAAUACCAAGGGGCGCAAUGUGCGUUCAAAGAUUCGAUGAUUCACUGAAUUCUGCAAUUCACACUACUUAUCGCAUUUCGCUGCGUUCUUCAUCGAUGCCAGAACCAAGAGAUCCAUUGUUGAAAGUUGUACGAUUUAGUGUAUAUCAGGGUUUUCAAUGCUUAUAUACAAGACUUUUAGAAGGAUCCUGGCGGCGGUGUCCCACCGCCAGGAAGCAACAAACGGUUGCAGUAGGCAAGGUAAGGAGCGGGGCCGGACGCAACCUAGCACGGGCGCACAAUUGUCAGGUAGGCACGUAAGCUAGAUUCUGUAAUGAUCCUUCCGUAGGUUAACCUACGGAAGGAUCAUUCACAAUAAGAGUGUUCUAUGGCACUCUUUCAAAAAAUCCAUACCCACCUUGUGUGCAAUGUAAGAAAAAGUGUUCUACAGGAGUCAAGGAAGGGAGAGUGGUCUCUGGCCAUUCUUUUUUCCCCUCUUGUGGGAAGCUUUUCUAAUUUACAUAAACACCUUUCUAUAUAGUUCCUAUAGUCUGAAGUUUAGUAGAAUUUACAUAAUUCUUAAAUA
rnacentral:misc_RNA from 1 species